UUUAAAUGACAAAAGCACCACACAUAGCGGAGGGAAGUCAAGCUGCUCUGUAAUAAUGUAUGAACACAUUUGUCAAAGCAAAUACAUCCAGAACAAGGAGGCCUUUAGACAAAACAAUACUUCCCUUUGAUCUGAGAACACCAAAAGGGCCUAACUCUCAACAAAGACUACAUGCUUUGACGCCGUUCUGUCAGACUGCCCCUCUGCUGCCAUCUGUUGCACAGCAAUAUAAUGCAACAGAAUAUGGGUGGGAAGGUUCAACCCCUACUAUCAUACCAACCAACAUCUGCCUCUGACGUGUGGGCCAACAUCAUAAAACAGAAGGCAUUACUUUCAGACAACCCUUCGUACAUUAUGUAUGAUUACCCCAAAUAACACAGUUUGAUUAAUACCAUAUCACAAUCAGAUAGCACACAGGCCUGCCACAUCACAAUUUUUCUUCAGGUAAGUGAACUGUUAAAUUCUUCUGGCCGUUUUUGUUUGUUUGAACUAUAAAUCCUGAAACUGAAAAGACAUGUAAUAAAAAAUUUCUAAAAUAUAUGCCAAACUAAGGUAGUGAUGGAAUCAGUUAUGUUGUAACUACAUAAUAUUUCUCUCAUCUGACAGGUGGUGCACAAUUAAUAUCUGAGUGGUUGGUUGAAAACCACAAAACAUUAUCGCAGAUUCCACAGCUGGAACUUACUAAUUUCAGCUUUUUUUUGCUUUUUAAA